rnacentral:rRNA from 1 species
ACGAGCGCAACCCCUAUCUUUAGUUGCCAGCAUGUUUGGGUGGGCACUCUAGAGAGACUGCCGGUGACAAGCCGGAGGAAGGUGGGGAUGACGUCAAGUCCUCAUGGCCCUUAUGUCCUGGGCUACACACGUGCUACAAUGGCGAUGACAAUGGGAAGCUAGAUGGCGACAUCGUGCUGAUCUCAAAAAGUCGUCUCAGUUCGGAUUGCACUCUGCAACUCGAGUGCAUGAAGGUGGAAUCGCUAGUAAUCGCGGAUCAGCAUGCCGCGGUG